UACGUAGGGUGCAAGCGUUGUCCGGAAUUAUUGGGCGUAAAGAGCUCGUAGGCGGUUUGUCGCGUCUGCUGUGAAAACUCGGGGCUUAACUCCGGGCCUGCAGUGGGUACGGGCAGACUAGAGUGCGGUAGGGGAGACUGGAAUUCCUGGUGUAGCGGUGAAAUGCGCAGAUAUCAGGAGGAACACCGGUGGCGAAGGCGGGUCUCUGGGUCAAGAUUGACGCUCAUGCACGAAAGCGUGGGGAGCAAACAGG
rnacentral:rRNA from 1 species